AGAUGAGAGGGAGGUUUAAGUGUCAGAUGGCCCAAUCUACCCCCUUCUCCUUACCAUCAAUACAUAACAGAGCCAUUCUCAGGCCUUGUCUAAUGGAACUUGCUGUGUGGCCCCUGAGGACAGAAUUCAUGGGGGACAUAUGUAUUAUCUACCCAUAUUGAAUGUUGAAGAUCUGCUGUGCAAGCUUUCGGUAUUCCUAAAGUUGCCUGAUCCAAGACAAGAUCUGAUUGCUACCUUCCUGGUUUAAUCUCUGCAAGUUCCUGACUUGGGUUUGGGACUAUGCACAGGUAGACAGCCACUAAAUUCUAUUCUUAUCAACCAGCUGGACAGCUCUGUUGGCUGGAGUGGCAAAACAAUAGACUCCCUUUUGGUCCUACACUGCUAAUUCCUCUGGGGCUGGGUUUGCAUUGGCAAGUAAGACCCUGCUUUGUGCCUGAGCCAUACCACUGCUGCUGCUGCUGUUCCUGAACUUCUUUCUCAGCUCACCACCCUGGAACUUCCUAACCAGAAUGUGCAAUAGCCAUGCAAAGAUCCUACUCUGCCCUGGACCUUUCCACAGCUGGUAGUGGGUGAAAAAGCUUCCAGUUGGCAUCUGUUCUACUAUUGCAGUGUCCUGGUGUGGGUCUGAGGGUGCCUUGGUAUGGUGAUGGCUACUGAAUACUGGGUGAUCUUGACUUUGACUCCUCAAUACAUGAAUUAUUUCUCUCUGGAGGCUCGAAUGCUUUGACCUGGAGAUUCUGGAUUUUGUUUAUGAUGUUUCUGGGACUUUUCAUUUGAGGGUUUUCUUUGAGGAUUUGUCUUGUGGACUCUAUCUAUUUACACUUUGUCCUUUGGUUAUAAGAGAUCUGGGUAGUUUCUUUUAGAAAUAGGCUCUCUUGGGGGCAGCUAAGUGGCUCAGUGGUUUGAGAGCCAGGCCUAGAGACAGGAGGUUCUGGGUUCAAAUAUAGCCUUGGACACUUCCCAACUGUGUGACCCUGAACAAGUCAUGAUAUUGAUUCUAAGGCAGAAGGUAAGGAUUAAAAAAAAAAAAGAUGGGUAUGGGACAUCCUGCUCAAAAUGUCCAAAAGGUAGUUGACAAGAGGAGAUAGGACUCAGGAAAAAAAAAGGGCUGGAUUUAUAUAUCUCUUG